rnacentral:rRNA from 1 species
UACGUAGGGUGCAAGCGUUGUCCGGAAUUAUUGGGCGUAAAGAGCUCGUAGGCGGUUUGUCGCGUCUGCUGUGAAAACCCGAGGCUCAACCUCGGGCCUGCAGUGGGUACGGGCAGACUAGAGUGCGGUAGGGGAGAUUGGAAUUCCUGGUGUAGCGGUGGAAUGCGCAGAUAUCAGGAGGAACACCAAUGGCGAAGGCAGCUCGCUGGGACGGUACUGACGCUGAGACACGAAAGCCAGGGGAGCAAACGGG